rnacentral:rRNA from 1 species
CCCAUGCAAGUCGGACGGCAGCGCGGGGGCAACCCUGGCGGCGAGUGGCGAACGGGUGAGUAAUACAUCGGAACGUGUCCUGGAGUGGGGGAUAGCCCGGCGAAAGCCGGAUUAAUACCGCAUACGCUCUAUGGAGGAAAGCGGGGGAUCUUUCGGGACCUCGCGCUCAAGGGGCGGCCGAUGGCAGAUUAGCUAGUUGGUGGGGUAAAGGCCUACCAAGGCGACGAUCUGUAGCUGGUCUGAGAGGACGACCAGCCACACUGGGACUGAGACACGGCCCAGACUCCUACGGGAGGCAGCAGUGGGGAAUUUUGGACAAUGGGGGCAACCCUGAUCCAGCAAUGCCGCGUGUGUGAAGAAGGCCUUCGGGUUGUAAAGCACUUUUGUCCGGAAAGAAAACUUCGGGGUUAAUACCUCUGGAGGAUGACGGUACCGGAAGAAUAAGCACCGGCUAACUACGUGCCAGCAGCCGCGGUAAUACGUAGGGUGCGAGCGUUAAUCGGAAUUACUGGGCGUAAAGCGUGCGCAGGCGGUUCGCUAAGACCGAUGUGAAAUCCCCGGGCUUAACCUGGGAACUGCAUUGGUGACUGGCGGGCUAGAGUAUGGCAGAGGGGGGUAGAAUUCCACGUGUAGCAGUGAAAUGCGUAGAGAUGUGGAGGAAUACCGAUGGCGAAGGCAGCCCCCUGGGCCAAUACUGACGCUCAUGCACGAAAGCGUGGGGAGCAAACAGGAUUAGAUACCCUGGUAGUCCACGCCCUAAACGAUGUCAACUAGUUGUCGGGUCUUCAUUUGACUUGGUAACGAAGCUAACGCGUGAAGUUGACCGCCUGGGGAGUACGGUCGCAAGAUUAAAACUCAAAGGAAUUGACGGGGACCCGCACAAGCGGUGGAUGAUGUGAAUUAAUUCGAUGAAACGCGAAAAACUUUACCUACCCUUGACAUGUACGGAACCUUGCUGAGAGGUGAGGGUGCCCGAAAGGACCCCUAACCCUGUGCUGCAUGCCUGUCGUCAGUUCGUGUCGUGAAAUGUGGAUAAAUCCCGCAACGACGCACCCUGUCCCUAGUGCUACGCAGAGCACUCUAAGGAAACUGCCGUGACAACCGAGGAAGGUGCGAUGAUGUCAUUCCUCAUGUCUUUAUGGUAGGCUUUCCCCCCGUCU